UUAAAAUACAUAAUAAUAUUUAUUAGAUAUUAUUCGAAUAUAGUAUUAUAAUAUUAUAUUUUAUUGUUUCAAACGAAAACAGUUUUCGGAAUUGUAAGCGAAAUCGUUUUUCAUAUACGCGAUUCGAUUAAUUGUACAUUAUAGAAAUAGCGCGGUGUAGUUUUUCCGGAUGUUUUUCUCCCCUAUACGCCCGUGUUGUUAUAAAAAAAAAAAAAAAAAAAAAAAAAAAAAAAAAAAAAACAUAAAAAAGAAAAACAUCCAAAAACGGAAUCGAACGGUCCGAUCCGACCGUAUCAC